rnacentral:tRNA from 2 species
GGCGGACUGGCGUAAUGGUUAACGCGCCAGUUUCCGGUGUGGAGCUUUCUGCAACCGAGCUGGAGAUUUCUGGGUUCGAGUCCCAGGUUCGUCG